GACGAACGCUGGCGGCGUGCUUAACACAUGCAAGUCGAACGGUAAGGCCCUUCGGGGUACACGAGUGGCGAACGGGUGAGUAACACGUGGGUGAUCUGCCCUGCACUUCGGGAUAAGCCUGGGAAACUGGGUCUAAUACCGGAUAGGACCACUGCCUGCAUGGGUGGUGGUGGAAAGCUUUUGCGGUGUGGGAUGGGCCCGCGGCCUAUCAGCUUGUUGGUGGGGUGAUGGCCUACCAAGGCGACGACGGGUAGCCGGCCUGAGAGGGGGACCGGCCACACUGGGACGGGGAUACGGCCCAGACUCCUCCGGGAGGCAGCAGUGGGGAAUAUUGCACAAUGGGCGCAAGCCUGAUGCAGCGACGCCGCGUGAGGGAUGACGGCGUUCGGGUUGUAAACCUCUUUCAGCACCGACGAAGCGCAAGUGACGGUAGGUGCAGAAGAAGGACCGGCCAACUACGUGCCAGCCGCCGCCGUAA
rnacentral:rRNA from 1 species